GGAAGGAUCAUUAACACUAAGUCCACUUUGUUGUGUCGGUCGCGGCGGCUCGCCGCCUGCUGACCGCACAACAAUAAGCACCCAGUGAUUCUGUUGAAGUGAAAACAAAACAAAGGCAAAGCCACGCUAUGCUGCACGCAAGUGCAUCGGCGCUGGUUCGGCCUGUUUUCACCCCUUACAAACACCCAACUAAACCUAAAAAGCCUCAAAACGUGAACAUCAAACGAUGCUCGACGGUUGGGCAGUCGCUAACGCGGCCUCCCGAUCUCGCGUCACCGAUGCACACAAACGAAAGCGAAAACGCAAAGACAACUUUUAACAACGGAUAUCUCGGUUCUCGCAACGAUGACGAGCGCAGCGAAAUGCGAUACGUAAUGUGAAUUGCAGAAUUCAGUGAAUCAUCAAAUCCUUGAACGCAACUUGCGCUCGCAGGUCCUCCUGCGAGCAUGCCUGUUCCAGCAUCGGUUCAUUCCUCACACAACCUACCAAACGUGCGUAAAACCGCGUUCGACCCGGUUGCGUGGAGCUGAGGUGUCGAAUCAAGCAAUUGAUCCGUCCCUUUCAAUCGAUCGGAGAACUUUGACGUGUAAACCGUAGAACAUCAAUCUAUGGAUUGCAACCGUCUACCAACAAUUUGGUGCAUUAAUUUCCCUCAAAACGGAAAAUACUCGCCAACGUUUUUGGACCAGACUUGCUUUCAUACCAAACAUAGAGUUUUACAACGCACGACGAAGCGCGCCGAACAAGUGACUGCUUCCACCGGACGCGUCAGCCCUAAAAAGCCGGCGUCAAAAGUGAGCAAUCCACGGCUUCUCAAACUUCGAUCUGGAAUCAGGCAAGACCACCCGCUGAAUUUAAGCAUAUCAAUAAGCGGAGGAAAAGAAACUAACCAGGAUUCCCCCAGUAACGGCGAGUGAAGAGGGAACAGCUCAAGCCUAAAGCGCGGGCGGGUGCCGUUUCGCGCGUUGUAGCCUUGAGAACUCUGUCCAGGCACCGCCACGAUCAAAGUCCCCUGGAAAAGGGCGCCAAAGAGGGUGAGAGCCCCGUAAACGAUCGUGGUAACACCAAUGGUGUCUACCAGUGUCAGGGUUUCCACGAGUCGGGUUGUUUGGGAGUACAGCCCUAAAUCGGGUGGUAAAUUUCAUCUAAAGCUAAAUACUGGCGAGAGACCGAUAGCGAACAAGUACCCGUGAGGGGAAAGAUGCAAAGAACUUUGAAAAGAGAGUUAAAAGUGCUUGAAAUUGUUAAAAGGGAACCGAUUGGAACCAGUAAUUGCCGGCUGUUGGAUCAGGCUGUGAGGCGUCGUCGACGCGUACGAGCGAGUGCCUCUUCGUGGGUGCCACGCGUGCGUGCCAGGCGGCGUCGUGCGGCUGCACUGCAGCAGUCGGCUGGUCAACAUCGGUUUGACCAGCGGUAGAAUGGUUGCGGGAAGGUGGCGUCGGUGGCAACAUCGGCGUGUUAUAGCCCGUGGCAGAUGCCGUUGGACGGACUGAGGCGUGCUAAGCACGGCAACGAGCGGCCGCAAGGUCUCGGCUCCAUGCCGUCCUGGUGGUGCGUAACGGUGGGGACAGCUCGUUGUGCCUGUUGAUUGCGCUGCUGCCACAGGCGGUGUGUCCAGAUGUCUCGUUCGCAGAUGUUGACGAAAUGGUUUCAAUCGUCCCGUCUUGAAACACGGACCAAGGAGUCUAGCAUGUAUGCGAGUAUUCGGGUGAAAAACCCUGGGUGCGAAAUGAAAGUGAAGGCCGGUGUAUCGCUGGCUGAGGUGUGAAGUGGCGCGGUCCGCCGUUCCAUGGCAACAUCGCCCUCUGGCGCAAUCGAGUGCCACGAGAGGAAGAGCAUACCUGCUGGGACCCGAAAGACAGCGAACUAUGCUUGCAUAGGGUGAAGCCAGAAGAAAUUCUGGUGGAGGCUCGUAGCGAUACUGACGUGCAAAUCGUUCGUCAAAUGUGAGUAUAGCGGCGAAAGACUAAUCGAGCUGUCUAGUAGCUGGUUUCCUC
rnacentral:misc_RNA from 1 species